GGGGGGUGUCUGCGGGGGAUCAUGGAGGAUCCCAUGGUGAGCUCUUCCACGGGAGCGAUGAACUCCCUCCUCGAUAAGCUGGGAGUACUGGAGAACCGGUAUCCCGACCUAGCUGAAGGCGUGCGAGAGAGCCUGAAGAGCCUAAGCGAUGUCUUGCACAGCUUUGCUAGGCAGAGGACGAGGAACUCCCUCAUCAACGAGUGGAUGCUGCAAGUCCGGGAGGUGGUGUACGACAUGGAGGACUGGAUCGACGGCGAUCCCUCCAAGGCCAAGCUGGAUGAUGUGGAGGAACAAAUCGAAGAAUUCAAGGCCCAGAUCCAAGGUGCACGGGACCGCUGCACAAGGUACGGCCUUCUCAGCAGCAUAGAGCCUAGUACUACUUGUGCACUACAAGAUGAUGCUGAAACCAGAGAAUCAGUUGCCAUGGAUCCUAAACUGCUCCAUGGGGAGGCGCCUUGCCGCCUUGUGGGCAGCGAUGAACUAAGGAAUGUUCUUGUUAACCACCUGAUGGACCAAGAAGAGCGGCGUAAGGUGGUGUGCAUCGUGGGAACCGGAGGAAUUGGCAAGUCAACUCUUGCCACGGGAAUAUACCGACAGCUCCAAGGGCAGUUCAGCUGCGGGGCUUUCGUGCAUCUUGGCCGGAACCCGUCCGUGAAGAUGACCCUGAUCAGUAUACUCAAGCAAGUAAUGCCGGAUUGGCACUGCGAAGAGUAUUUAUGGAACGGCUACAACUCUGAGGACAUGGAAGCAUGGGACGAGAAGAAGGUCAUCAAUAAACUCUGGGCAUUCUUAAAAACAAAGAGUUAUUUUGUUGUGCUCGUGGACAUGCGGAGCAUAUCGACUUGGAAGAAGAUCAGUUGUGCUUUGCCUAAUAAAGACAAGUCUUCUGAUAGGAUAUUGGUUACAACUUGUACCAAGGAUAUAGCAGAAUCAUGUUGCAUACAUCCUGGUGAUUUUGUUCAUCCGAUGGAGCGCCUUAGCGAGAAAGAUUCCAAAACAUUAUUUCAUAGUAAACUACCUGUUUCAGAACAACAUAGGCUGCUUGAAGUUUCU
rnacentral:rRNA from 1 species